UAGAUAGCCGGGAGAUUUUAUUCUCAUACUAGUGGAUUUGUACGCAUUAGCAAACAGCAUGAUACUGCAAUGAAGGGAUAUUGAUCGAUGAUCAUGAUCCGCACAAAUGACCUCACAGCCACAUCCUUAAUUAAAAGAGGAGGAGCACAAGACAUGUGAAACAGAGAGUUGACAGAUACAAACAGUUUAUUGUAUACAUGAUACUGCAACUAGGGAAAAAAAAACUAGAAGAUUAAUGAA